CUACGGGUGGCAGCAGGCGAGAAAACUUUGCAAUGUGCGAAAGCACGACAAGGUUAAUCCGAGUGGUUUGUGCUAAACGAACCUUUUGACAGUCCUAGAAACACUGUUGAAUAAGGGGUGGGCAAGUUCCGGUGUCAGCCGCCGCGGUAAAACCAGCACCUCAAGUGGUCAGGAUGAUUAUUGGGCCUAAAGCAUCCGUAGCCGGCUCUGUAAGUUUUCGGUUAAAUCUGUACGCUCAACGUACAGGCUGCCGGGAAUACUGCAGAGCUAGGGAGUGGGAGAGGUAGACGGUACUCGGUAGGAAGGGGUAAAAUCCUUUGAUCUAUUGAUGACCACCUGUGGCGAAGGCGGUCUACCAGAACACGUCCGACGGUGAGGGAUGAAAGCUGGGGGAGCAAACCGGAUUAGAUACCCUAGUAGUC
rnacentral:rRNA from 1 species